GGAGCCUCCAGGUGAGUUAAUAAACAAUUUGAUGUCCUUAGUUUUAUCCUCAGCAUCCAGCAGCAAGAGUUGGCUGAUGAUAAGAUCAGCAGUCAUUGUAUCAACCUGAGAACCUAAGAAAACGAUCCUCUGCUUGAGGAGCAUGUUGGAGACGUCGAGCUCCUCGAAACUCGGCAUCCAGACGGGUGACUUCAAAGAACCCGACGGGGUCCAACCCUCGGAGAGCGUCCUCCUGCUGCUCACCCUCGCGGAGGCUCGGAUGGAGCGGUGGAUUCUUCUUCCGCCCUGGGCGGGGGCGGGGGCGGCGACGGCGAUGGACUGAAGCGUCGCCGGUUCGCACCGCCGGAUAUCGGAGGGGAAGAAGAGGACAUUAGUGACGGAGGAGGAGAGUCUAGGAAGCGAAGGCGAGGCGGCCAUGGUUGUCUU
rnacentral:misc_RNA from 1 species